AGAGCGAACGCUGGCGGCAGGCCUAACACAUGCAAGUCGAACGGACCCUUCGGGGUUAGUGGCGGACGGGUGAGUAACACGUGGGAACGUGCCUUUAGGUUCGGAAUAGCUCCUAGAAACGGGUGGUAAUGCCGAAUGUGCCCUUCGGGGGAAAGAUUUAUCGCCUUUAGAGCGGCCCGCGUCUGAUUAGCUUGUUGGUGAGGUAAUGGCUCACCAAGGCUACGAUCAGUAGCUGGUCUGAGAGGAUGACCAGCCACAUUGGGACUGAGACACGGCCCAAACUCCUACGGGAGGCAGCAGUGGGGAAUUUUGGACAAUGGGCGCAAGCCUGAUCCAGCAAUGCCGCGUGCAGGAAGAAGGCCUUGGGUUGUAAACUGCUUUGUACGGAACGAAACGGUCCUGGUUAAUACCUGGGGCUAAUGACGGUACCGUAAGAAUAGGCACCGGCUAACUACGUGCCAGCAGCCGC
rnacentral:rRNA from 1 species